UACGGAGGGAGCGAGCGUUGUUCGGAAUUACUGGGCGUAAAGCGUAUGUAGGCGGCUUUGUAAGACAGAUGUGAAAUCCCAGGGCUUAACCCUGGAACUGCAUUUGUGACUGCAUGGCUUGAGUAUCGGAGAGGUUGGCGGAAUUCCCAGUGUAGCAGUGAAAUGCGCAGAUAUUGGGAGGAACACCGAUGGCGUAAGCAGCCAACUGGACGAUCACUGACGCUGAGAUACGAAAGUAUGGGGAGCAAACAGG
rnacentral:rRNA from 1 species